GACGAACGCUGGCGGCGUGCCUAAUACAUGCAAGGCGAACGAAGCUGUUUUAACUGGUGCUUGCACCGACUUAAACAACUGAGUGGCGAACGGGUGAGUAACACGUGGGUAACCUGCCCCAAAGCGGGGGAUAACAUUUGGAAACAGAUGCUAAUACCGCAUAACCACAGAAACCACAUGGUUUCUGUGUCAAAGAUGGUUUCGGCUAUCACUUUGGGAUGGACCCGCGGCGUAUUAGCUAGUUGGUAAGGUAAUGGCUUACCAAGGCAAUGAUACGUAGCCGAACUGAGAGGUUGAUCGGCCACAUUGGGACUGAGACACGGCCCAAACUCCUACGGGAGACAGCAGUAGGGAAUCUUCCACAAUGGACGAAAGUCUGAUGGAGCAACGCCGCGUGAGUGAAGAAGGUUUUCGGAUCGUAAAACUCUGUUGUCAGAGAAGAACGUGUGCGAGAGUAACUGCUCGUGCAGUGACGGUAUCUGGCCAGAAAGCCACGGCUAACUACGUGCCAGCCGCCGCGGUAA
rnacentral:rRNA from 1 species